rnacentral:rRNA from 1 species
CCUACGGGCGGCAGCAGUGAGGAAUAUUGGUCAAUGGCCGAGAGGCUGAACCAGCCAAGUUGCGUGAGGGAAGACGGCCCUACGGGGUGUAAACCUCUUUUGUCGGGGAGCAAAGAGAGUCACUUUUGACUCAUUGAGAGUACCCGAAGAAAAAGCAUCGGCUAACUCCGUGCCAGCAGCCGCGUUAAUACGGAGGAUGCGAGCGUUAUCCGGAUUUAUUGGGUUUAAGGGGUGAUCAGGCGGAGGUGCAAGUCAGCGGUAAAAUUGCGGGGCUCAACCCCGUACUGCCGUUGAAACUGCAUCCCUUGAGUGCGCGAGAAGUAUGAGGAAUGCGUGGUGUAGCGGUGAAAUGCAUAGAUAUCACGCAGAACUCCGAUUGCGAAGGCAGCAUACCGGCGCGCAACUGACGCUCAUGCACGAAAGCGUGGGUAUCGAACAGGAUUAGAUACCCGUGUAGUC